rnacentral:rRNA from 1 species
UGGGGAAUAUUGGACAAUGGGCGCAAGCCUGAUCCAGCAAUGCCGCGUGUGUGAAGAAGGCCUUCGGGUUGUAAAGCACUUUUAGUAGGGAAGAAAGCUUUAUGGUUAAUAACCAUGAAGAUUGACGCUACCUGCAGAAAAAGCACUGGCUAACUCUGUGCCAGCAGCCGCGGUAAUACAGAGAGUGCAAGCGUUAAUCGGAAUUACUGGGCGUAAAGCGCGCGUAGGUGGAUAUGUAAGUCGGAUGUGAAAGCCCUGGGCUUAACCUAGGAAUUGCACCCGAGACUGCACAUCUAGAGUAUGGUAGAGGGAAGUGGAAUUUCCGGUGUAGCGGUGAAAUGCGUAGAUAUCGGAAGGAACACCAGUGGCGAAAGCGGCUUCCUGGACCAAUACUGACACUGAGGUGCGAAAGCGUGGGGAGCAAACAGGAUUAGAUACCCGUGUAGUCC